GAUGAACGCUGGCGGCGCGCUUAACACAUGCAAGUCGAGCGAUGAAACUUUAACAGAACCCUUCGGGGCGAAGAUAAAGUGGAUUAGCGGCGGACGGGUGAGUAACACGUGAGUAACCUGCCUUAGACAUUGGGAUAGCCUCGGGAAACCGGGAUUAAUACCAACUAAAAUCAUAAUGACACAUGUCAUAACGAUCAAAACUCCGGUGGUCUAAGAUGGACUCGCGUCCCAUUAGCUAGUUGGUAGAGUAAAAGCCUACCAAGGCGACGAUGGGUAGCCGGCCUGGGAGGGGGAACGGCCACAUUGGAACUGAGAAACGGUCCAAACUCCGACGGGAGGCAGCGGUGGGGAAUAUUGCACAAGGGAGGGAACUCUGAUGCAGCGACGCCGCGUGAACGAAGAAGGCUUUCGAGUCGUAAAGUUCUUUUAUAUGGGAAGAUAAUGACGGUACCAGAAGAAAAAGCCCCGGCUAACUACGUG
rnacentral:rRNA from 1 species